CCCGAGCUGCAAUGCAUAAAUAGACCACCGAAUAUUUUGGUUAUUUUACAAUAUAAAAAAUAUGGAAUGUUGUCCACAUAAAUGGAGAAUUUCGAUCAUAAACGAGGGGAAACAUUUAGGAAAAUGCGUGCUAAGACUGCUCGAUUACUCAUUACCCUGUAAAGAAUUCAAUUUUAAAUGGGGAAAAUGGGAGUACAUAAACAACAUUGUUAUACUUUCAGGAUUAUUUAAAGCAAAUAUUAUAGAUGCAGUCAAACUAAACCAACGUGAUUUGCUGGUUUUCUUAUAUAUGCAGGGUAUAUUCUUAAAAGGGAGCAAAAACAACAAUGGAAAGUGCUGGAGUCAACAACAUCGAGACGUUUUGAAUGGAGUUUCAAUAGUUUCCCAUAAGUUUCAACUACUUUUUAAUAUCACACAUAUGUGCAUACUUUAGCAUAAAUACUUGUAAGACUCCACAAACACACAUACACACACACACACACAUGCAUGCUUCAAUACCACACAAACACAUAAGUAUCUACCAAUGGAUUGCUUUGCGCUUCCUCAAUGCGACCUUCAACAAUAAAUUUGUGUAUCGAGCAUCCAAUGGAAAAUUUGCAAUAAUGAAUGUGAGAAUAUAUAUUUCAGUACUUUCAUAUGUAAUCCGAUUUAUGUAUUCUAAUAUUUACGUUCAUAUUUUGUAUGUCCUUAAAUA